UGGCGAGACAGCGAAUUUAUUCACAAACAAACAACAGAAAAGUGAAGAAAUGAAGCAAGUCCAAGAACAGGAAAAAGUCACCGAGUGCUAGAUCUGGAGUACAUAGUGAAUACGGACGGAAUUAGAAACUCAAUUCGUGCAAGUUUGAACUCGAUUUGUGACAUUCGUUGUCAUAUAAACGUUUCAGUUUUGGUGGAAUGCCACAACCACAAUUCCAGCGCACGCUUCUUAUUUUUCCGCAUAAUCCGCGCAUCCAGAAAUCGAUUUCUGGAUACACACAGUCACCGGCGAGAUUUUACAGUUCAACUCUGGUUACUUGAUAAUUAUAUAUAUGUAUAAAUACAUAGUAAAUGUAUCGAAAUAUACUAAAAGUAUUUUCAUGUAAUUUUUUAAUAUUUACGGUAGAUCAAAUAUAUUAGUAGUAGUCAUAUGAUUCAAAUAAAAUGUUUGAAAUUAUUUUCUACGCAGUAUAUUCAUCUACAGAAUGAUUUUAUUAGAUUAAGUCUUUGGGUUAUUCUAACCUACUAGCGGAAUAAUAUUCGCACGACUUCAAGUUAUGCUAUCUGAAACUUCUGUGUGUAUAAUGUGUUGCAUCUACACGAAACUGAUUGCCUACUUCUCACCUUGGAAUGUACUUGAAUAUAAAAUCUAAUACCGUUUUAGUCGUCUUAAUUUUUCGCAAAACCUGUUAUACAUCAAUAAAUUUUAUAUAAUUAGAACAUUAAAUCAAAUUGUAUUCGUUUGUUUUUAAAAAUUUGAAUCUAUUAAGACUUAUUUUUUAUCCAACGCUGGUGCUUCCAUCUGUUGUAGUUGUAUUUAAGUUAUAUCAUAAAACUAUUCUCGGCUACGUAAAUGAUUCAAAUUAAUUUUCUACGAUGAGCCAGCAGUCAUAAAUAAAAGCAAAAGUAAAUAAUUUAGGUUUGUAGGUUUGAGAAUAAAUAUUUUGUUUUACCAUCGUCCAUCAAUAUUAUCUACCUAAAGAUUUUAAACAUUUUAAAAUGGCUAUAGGAUAUAAACAAUAGUGAAUGUUUAUGUUUAAUAUGUAAGUCGUUAAGAUUAUUAUUAUAAAUAAAUAAAAAAAUACAGUAUUA